AAGACUAUACUUUCAGGGAUCAUUUCUAUAGUUUUUGACUUGAGAAAUGUGUUUCUAAACUGUUUGAUCUCGCUAACCACGAUGAAGAGAUGGUGAUACACUUUCCUGAGCGUGAAGCGGGCACACAGUCAUGAUUCAGUUCAUAUGCUGUGUGCUUUUGAUGACCGUUCUUUGUCCCCUUUGGGGACUUUGAGGGGAAGAGUAUGUGCUGAGCGGUU
ensembl:snoRNA